AUGUGCACCAGUCACCUCCUUCCGUCCUCGCAGCGACCCUCACUCACCCCGCGGUCACCACCAUUCCCAUUUAACAGACGGGCACAGGGAAGGCCGAGGCCCACAGCUGACAAACUGGGGCGCGGAGACCGGCGCCCUGGGCUGUCUGACACCGGGGCGCUCGCUGUCAGCCCAGCGAGAUCCCCAUCCCCUCUCUCCGGUCUCAAUCCACGCCCCCUUUUCCAAAUCCCGCGGCCAGCAGGGAAGGGAGGACCAGCUGAACCGAGCAAGCGGUGCCCAGCCCUCUCCCCAAAGUUUCAACGCAGGCGGGCCAGGGGUAGGGGGGGUGGGAGGAGAGCCGGCCGGGGGCUGGGAGGGGAGACCGCGGCGGGCGGGAGGGAAGGAGCGCGCGCGGCGGGGCGGAGGGGCGCAAAUGGAGGCUGGGGCCGAAGUUACCGUGUCCGCGGCGGCCGGGCGUCCAGAGCGGGUGUCCGUCUCGGUCCCUCGGCGGCGAGGGUCUGGGGCCGCCCCAACGAAAGCGAAACUAAAAGGCCCGGAGCGGCAGGGGGCGGAGUCGCGCGGGGCAGUCUCCUCCCGUUCGUGCUGGUGCGCUCUCCCGAGUUGCUAGCGAGUCCAACGACCCGCUCCAACGCGCGAACCGUCGCGGGAGAGCGCCCCCUGCAGAACCGGUCGCCGGGUCUGCACCAGGGUCGGCGCCCGUCGCCCAGGGGGAAGGCGCCCUGGCGAAGUUGGCCGCGCACCCGGAGAGCGUGCUGGGUGAAGUUGGCCGACAGCUCUAUGACCCCGAAGCCGCGCUCACUGUCCCCGGGCAGAGCACCUUCUGCACCCCCAGCAGCACUCCAAGUGACCCGGGAGCGCGCUCUGCAAACCGGCCCCGCGCAGAGCCCCAGCCGCGCACGCGGAAGAGCGUGCUCCAGGGACUUCGAGGCGCUCGACGCCCCAGUGCUGGCCAGGGGCGCCCCUCCUUCUCUCCUGCCGCUACUGUCCCCCGUCUGCACCUCUACUCGGGCUUCCGCACCAGUAUCCAGUAUCGGGGACCCAGUCCCACAGCCAGAGGGCUUUUCCCCAGCCAGGCCCUCGACCCCAAUCUGUGCUGUGGGCGCCCCAACCCUGGGGAAGGGAGUGUGUUCGGCGCCCGCAGCGGCUGGUUACCUUCUCCGGGCCGGGCUUCUGGGGCCAGCCGUGGGGUUGCCGGUGGGCCUCCAGUGUCCACUCUUGGGGACGCCUCGGAUCGCGUGUGGACUGUGGGACCCCGAACUCCUCCCUUAG
rnacentral:lncRNA from 1 species